rnacentral:lncRNA from 1 species
AUGGUUCAAGAAGAGACACGUGGAAUACAGGAUGGAUCUUCAUUGACUCCGGUAGAUGUAACCGAUAUGCAACUGGGUUGAUCUGUUCAGAAACAGAAAAGGGGCCAAGCCUACGAUAGUCCAAUUUGUCACAAGGUCGAGUGGUCUUGAUAUUGCGACGAAGUAGCCAUACCUUAUCACCCACGUUGAGUUGUGGUUGCUCUUUACGAUAUACAUCUGCAUUUAUCUUUUGUCGUUCUUGAGCUUUCUUCAAUUGCGCCUUCAUUAUUGCAUGUAACUCUGACAACCGAUUUGCCAUAUCUUCUGCUGCAGGAUUAUCAACUUUUGAAAAAUCAAAAGUAUCAAGUCGUGGAUGAUAGCCAUAAUUGGCAAAGAAAGGUGUUUG